UACGUAGGGUGCAAGCGUUAAUCGGAAUUACUGGGCGUAAAGCGUGCGCAGGCGGCUUUGCAAGACAGAUGUGAAAUCCCCGGGCUUAACCUGGGAACUGCAUUUGUGACUGCAUGGCUGGAGUGCGGCAGAGGGGGAUGGAAUUCCGCGUGUAGCAGUGAAAUGCGUAGAUAUGCGGAGGAACACCGAUGGCGAAGGCAAUCCCCUGGGCCUGCACUAACGCUCAUGCACGAAAGCGUGGGGAGCAAACAGG
rnacentral:rRNA from 1 species